GGCGUGGUGGCCUCAUGGUUAGAGCGCUCGACUCCGGAUCGAGUGGUCCGGGUUCGAGCCCCGGCCGGGACA
rnacentral:tRNA from 1 species